rnacentral:rRNA from 1 species
GAUGAACGCUGGCGGCGUGCCUAAUACAUGCAAGUCGAGCGAACAGACGAGGAGCUUGCUCCUCUGACGUUAGCGGCGGACGGGUGAGUAACACGUGGAUAACCUACCUAUAAGACUGGGAUAACUUCGGGAAACCGGAGCUAAUACCGUAUAAUAUAUUGAACCGCAUGGUUCAAUAGUGAAAGACGGUUUUGCUGUCACUUAUAGAUGGAUCCGCGCCGCAUUAGCUAGUUGGUAAGGUAACGGCUUACCAAGGCAACGAUGCGUAGCCGACCUGAUAGGGGGAUCGGCCACACUGGAACUGAGACACGGUCCAGACUCCUACGGGAGGCAGCAGUAGGGAAUCUUCCGCAAUGGGCGAAAGCCUGACGGAGCAACGCCGCGUGAGUGAUGAAGGUCUUCGGAUCGUAAAACUCUGUUAUUAGGGAAGAACAAAUGUGUAAGUAACUAUGCACGUCUUGACGGUACCUAAUCAGAAAGCCACGGCUAACUACGUG